AGCACAGAUGCCCAGGCCUUAUUAUUGAAGAUUCCAAUUCAGUAGAUCUGGGUUGAGGACCAAGCAUCUGCAUGUUUUAAGAAGCCACAGGUUAUUUUUGAGGUGUAGCAAGGAUUGAAAGAACAGAAAACUUGGAUUUGGAAAACUAGUUGUGACUUUAGGCAGUGAGUCAGUUUCCUAAUGCACACAUUGGGGGAUUCUAUAGGAAUGCUGUAAGAAGCAAAUAAUACAUGGAGAGAGUGCUUUAUACAGCGAUACACUGCACAGACACACUUGCCUUCAACAUCAGCUGCCAGCCUAGUAAGUGGUAGUAUAAAUGCAAAGGAUAUAACUUCCUUUAGUUUUGCCAGGUGGGUCCCUGUGAUUCUAGCUGAGCCCCAGGAAGGAAGGGAAGAAAACUGAGGGAAGAGAAGGGAGUGUGUAGUUGCCUCUGGGAAGGAUAAAAGGAUAU
rnacentral:lncRNA from 10 species